rnacentral:misc_RNA from 1 species
AGGGGGAGGGUGGCCGAACCCCCCGGGGCGUGCAAGGGUCGUGUUUUAUGGGCAAAAACACGUGGAUUUGAGUGGGAUCCAAGAGGUUGGCGCACGCCCCUAGGCAAGACGUAGCKGUUGGCUCAGUCGGAUGACGUUUCCCUGUAACCAUCACCGUAAACCGGUCCUUUAGUAUCCGUACGGGGAUCUGGGUCUGAGGUGUAUUGCAUGAGGUGUAGCACCAUGAAAUUGACGAUUUGAGCUCCGCCGCGCAACAACGUGUUUAUCCGGUGUCAUCCACGAUACUUGGGAGCCGUUGCCCCGGUCAUGUAAACGUUCCCAGUCGGUAUGAUUCCUCAAAAAGGUGAUUGCCGCGUUACGUUUUUCGUGUUCCAUGUGGUCUACUUCUCCUCAGUCGCUCUGGGUGGUCAUCCAUGUUAACCACGGAUAAUGCGCUUAUCCGGUGUCGUCCACGAUACUUGGGAGUCACUGGCCCGGUCCCGUAAACGUUCCCAGUCGGUAUGAUUCCCCAAAAAGGUGAUUGCCGCGUUACGUUUUCGUGUUCCAUAUGGGCUACUUCUCCUCAGUCGCUCUGGGUGGUCAUCCGUGGUAGGCACAUUCCAUCGCCUCUAGUCCCUUCAGAGAAAUGUUGCCCCAUGACGGUAUCGUUAUUGGUGCAACACCCGCGCGCCGUGGACACUCAGGACGCCUUCGUGCAGGCCAUUCCCCCGUGCUAUGCGUGGGGGGAGGCUUGGUUGGCUUGACCGAUGUGGAUACGCGAGCGGAUGAGUAGCUUUGGACCCGUGUCUGUUGUUAGAUCCCCCGUCCUCGUGCGGCCGACUAGCGACGCCGUGUCCCGUCAUUCGUGUGGCUUAUGUUACUGUUGCCUUUCAAGUGCUUGCGUGCAUGUACCCGACCUACGGGAAGUGGUGCUUUGUACACGCUUGCCUCGCGGCGGCCACCUCUGGGUGUUCCGCUGUGGCCUAAUGGCGCUUGCGGCGUUACCUCGGGGUACUGGCAUGUUUCGUGCUCGGUGCUAUCAAGGAAGCCUCG